AUUGAACGCUGGCGGUAUGCUUAAGACAUGCAAGUCGAACGGUAACAGGUUAAGCUGACGAGUGGCGGACGAGUGAGUAACGCGUGGGAAUCUACCUUGUAGUGGGGGAUAAGCCAGGGAAACUUGGACUAAUACCGCAUACGCCCUAAGGGGAAAGGCGCAAGUCGCUAUAAGAUGAGCCCGCGUCUGAUUAGGUAGUUGGUGGGGUAAAGGCCUACCAAGCCGACGAUCAGUAGCUGGUCUGAGAGGAUGAUCAGCCACGUCGGGACUGAGACACGGCCCGGACUCCUACGGGAGGCAGCAGUCGGGAAUAUUGGACAAUGGGGGAAACCCUGAUCCAGCAAUACCGCGUGUGUGAAGAAGGCCUGCGGGUUGUAAAGCACUUUCAGUUGGGAAGAUAAUGACGUUACCAACAGAAGAAGCACCG
rnacentral:rRNA from 1 species